CUUGGAGUCUGGAGGUUGUGGGUUCAAAUCUUAUCAGGACUCAGUGAAUUUUAAAGGUGUCGGUCCAAAAUGAAAGACUCAAGAGGAGAAACACAGUGAAGCACCUGCAAGUAUGGAUCCACAGGACACACACCAUUAUCUUAAAGGUAUUGGUCCAAAGGAAAGACUCAAGAGAUCUGAGAAACAUAGUCAAGCAUCUGUCUCUGUGGCUCAAGAGAUAGAAGGAGGACUUGGAGUCUGGAGGUUGUGGGUUCAAGUCUUAUCAGGACUCAGUGAAUUUUAAAGUCUAACAUCUGAAAUGAUGAAGAUAAAUACGCCCGGAACACAUCUCAUAGUGUGAAGGUAUCGGUAGUGUAGUGGAUAAGAUUGCGGUUUCCAAACUCUGUAGGUGGCGAGCCUAGGUUCAAAUCCCACUGUGUCUGGUGAUGGAGGAUUAGAAUCUUAUAAGGCAAAUUUUAAAGUGAAAAUCUGAAAUGACGAUGAUAAAUACGCCCGGAACAAAUCUCAAAGUGGGAAGGUACCAGUGGCCAAGUGGAAUUGUCCUGGCAUCUGCAAUACAUACAUGCUGGUUCAAGUCCAGCUUCUAGGGUAUCAGUACCUGGAACUGCUAGUUCCCCCUGGUGUUUCAUGAGUAACACAAGUACAGGGUUAUGAAAAAGAAAAUCAAGAGUGUCUGAAGUUUUGUCAGACCCUUUUUUUAAAAGUGUUGGAUGACUUAAUGAACUAAAUAUAGUGUACUAACCUAAAUUCAUUAAUGGUUCAUUGUUCCCACCAUGACAUAAGAUUUGAUUUAUUAUAUAUACAUAUGGUCAAUCAUAUAUCAGAAUAAUAUGGUUCAAAGUUAAAAGGAGCUCAAGUAAAAUAUGGAGCAUCAGUGAAGUCACUACAGACACUGUUUACAUGAUAUGUGAACACCAAGAACACCUCUCCUCUCUCUGGAUCAUUCAGGGAACAGGAAGUUAUAAAGGAAACAGGAAGUUUAGGGUUCUUUCUCUAAUCUGCACACAGCAAGCAGCAACAGAAAUGUAAGUUCCUGUACUGAAGUUAAGGUUUAGCAUUAGCAUGUAGCUUAGCAUUAGCAACAACUUGUAUUAGUUUAUUGUUUGAAUUUAUACAGAACUUUGGUAAUGACUAAACUUCUUGUGUCUUGUAGUUUUCACUCCUUCAAUCUGGUGAAGAAAUGAAAAGAGGAGAUCAUCUCUUUGCUCCCUUCAGAGCACUUCCUGUUGAUAAAUCCAGAGCUACAGAUUCACAGAUAUAAGAAGACCGAGGAGUUCAGAUGAAAAGAAACAAAGCUACAUGGACAGACAGCAUCGUUAACAAAAACAGGCCAAUCAGAGUCCACAUUUUGAAGGUCUCGGUCUGGGACUAGAAGGAAAAAACAUCAAAUAACUUGACUCCCCGGUUACGACCACAACCUUCCUGGUGUUACGCUCCAACUGUUUGUACAGGUUGCUCCUCCUCGUAUUUGCUCCGCUCGUGGCAACAAUAUUAUUUGACUUUUCUUUCACAAAGCUGAACUGUACCUGUAGGUCUGUCUUGAUGAGCGAGGCUCCUGCUUGGACCAGAUAAUGACAGAUAGUUCUUUGAGACAGGGACGCAGCUCGGUGAAGGACCGUCUCCCCCCUGGUCAGAGAGAGAGAGAGAGAGAGAGAGAGAGAGAGAGAGAGAGAGAGAGUCAGAUUACAGCAUCUGACAACAUCACCCGAGGAACAGACAUCAACAGUGGCCCCCCUGCUGCUUCUUUUGGUGUCUUGUGUUUAUAAUGGCACAUAUAUCAUCACAUAAAGACUGAACAGAGAUCAGAGCACAGAUACAGACACAGGCAGUUUGAAAGCAUCAUCAUCUACACUCUGUUAACAUUUAAAUAAAGUGUUUAGCAUUUUAAAAACCUCAUGGUUUCAGUUCAAUGUUAGAUGUUUUCAAGCACAAAUAUAAUCUGUACUUACUGCAGUUUUUCUGGAACGACUAAAAACUACUUAAAAGGCCGGGUUGGUAAUUUUCUCCAGAUCCACUUUUUAAGAUUGUGGUUGAAAUUGUCUUUUGAUCCUGACAAUGCAGGCAAUGAGCUGAGGUCUGCUUCUGGGGUGGGUGCAGACGGAGCACUGAGGGAAUGCUAUUUUUAGAAAAUGACCGACCCUGCCUUUAACCCAGACAAGACUCUCUCUUACCUGCUUUUUGUGUCUUGAGAUAACAUUUGGAUUGAGUUGGCGCUCUACAAAAUAAAGAUUGAUUGAACUGAC